GAGGGCAUAGCUCAGUGGUAGAGCGCUUGCUUAGCAUGCACAGGAUCCUGGGUUCCAUCCCCAGUACCUCCA
rnacentral:tRNA from 1 species